AACGAACGCUGGCGGCAUGCCUAACACAUGCAAGUCGAACGAGACCUUCGGGUCUAGUGGCGCACGGGUGCGUAACGCGUGGGAACCUGCCUUUAGGUUCGGAAUAACAGUGAGAAAUUACUGCUAAUACCGGAUGAUGUCUUCGGACCAAAGAUUUAUCGCCUUUAGAUGGGCCCGCGUUGGAUUAGCUAGUUGGUGGGGUAAAGGCCUACCAAGGCGACGAUCCAUAGCUGGUCUGAGAGGAUGAUCAGCCACACUGGGACUGAGACACGGCCCAGACUCCUACGGGAGGCAGCAGUGGGGAAUUUUGGACAAUGGGGGAAACCCUGAUCCAGCCAUGCCGCGUGAGUGAAGAAGGCCUUCGGGUUGUAAAGC
rnacentral:rRNA from 1 species